CUUCAUUGUAGAUUGACAAUAAACUUCAUUCACUGCUCCCUUCUUCUAUCUGCAGAUCCAGCUCCUCAGCCGUUGGGACCUGUGUCUCACUCUCCGCCAUACCUGGGAUCGUUUCCCCUACAUGGGUAGCCGGCCCGGUGCCACUUACGCCCUCGGCCAAAUUGGUUGCGACCCUCACUCGGUCCAGAUCUCUGCGAUACACUGUCAACCAGUGCCUGAACCCGGUGGUAGUUGAAGCCCACUUCCUCAUCCCUUCUUCCUCGAAAUCAACCACAUGGAAAGACGUUUUUCUUCCGUCUCUUCCGCCUAUCUCCCAUAUCAACACCAAUCCUACCCUCACUUCCUGCUCCGGCACAUGGCUCAUCUAUGAAGAUGUCAACGUCCUCAUGCUCUCCUUCUGCAUCGUCAGGCAUGGCAUUAGAUGAAGAGUACGGAGCACAGGAUGACACAGGAUCCACACGCCGGCCAGGGGUACCGGGGAGAACCUUUUCAGUGAUACGAUCCUGUAGAACAGAGAUAACUUCAUUGUGAAUGCUGAGGGCUUGGUGAGGUCGGGAGCGGUCGAUGCCGCCUAGUGCUCUGGGAACUGAGUGGAGUAGGCUGCGGCGGACAUCGGCAGUGCCAGACAGGACGGACGUCGAGGAGUAUCAUAUGGCAGAGCAGAGGGAAAUCGAAGCGAACCUUAAUAGCGCCAAUGUCAUGCUCCAGAGCAAUAUCGGCUGCUUCCCAUUUUCCUUCCAUUCCUGUGGAGUUUAUCAACCAGGUCGCCUCGUAGAAAUCGCGCAACUUUUGCGGCAUGGUUUCAAACUUCACAAACAUCUCCAUGACAAGGUUCGCGUAGCUGGCCAUACCCAUGCCCCGAAAGAUGAGAAGCCAGCGCCGAUAGACCUCCCACAUGCAGCCAGGAUCUCCAUCCCUCACAGCACGAUCAGAUUUCCUUUCAACCAACAUCCCAUCUGCAAAAAACAGAUCCAUGGCAAGGACUUCAUCCCCUGCAUUUCCUUUGGAAAGCUCGGCAGCGCCUUUACGGCGAAAACCUUCAAAGCGCUCGUCAAGCGAUUAGGCAUCAGAGAGAUUGCAUACCAGACUACAAUAAAGUCAGGAAUCAUAGUCAUGAAGAAAACAAUGAACCAACCGGAAAUAAUCCAAGACGUGGGCCACCAGCUUUAUCUCCCGCAGUUCUCGGCUGGUAUUGUAGACAGAAUGUGUGACAUUCCAUGUGCGCCCGUUGACGACUGAUGCUGCCCUUCGAAGGCAAGUGGGAUUGUUGAAGUCUUCGGGGCCAGCAUAAUGGCGGACUCCAGAAAGGUUGGCGUUUAGGGAGAAAUGGAAGGAUCCUGUAAGUGUAUAUCGUCUAGAGUCAUUUCUGGUUGAUCACCCCCGCGCUCCUGAGACGCACGCUUAAUUAACCUACAAACACCGAGGUCGCCGUUGACGGACAGAAUGAAUUUCGAUCUCAUCCAGGGAUCGACGAAAUGUUGCUUCAAUUGAUCAAGGAAGGAUAUCACACCGUUCACGGUUCCAGCAUUGCAAUCGAAACCCGGGAGAUAGAACCUUCGGGUGCGCUCACAAGGUAAAGGUCGAGACAUCAACAGAGCCUUUCGAGAAUCAUUGUUGAUACGAGUGACAUCUUUCUGGAGCUUUUUGUGGGAGUCGGAUCGAAACCAGAAGCGGUGCUGUAUCAGGAUGUGUCGAAUAUGAAACCUGCGUACCUGUUCCCAGUGUUCGCGAGACUGGCAGGUUCCAAGGAAGGUGCUAAAACGAAAACAUUAUGAUCGACAUGGGAAGGUACGGAGGACAGAGGCGCAGGUGAUAUGAAUGGACUCGGGGGUGUUGGUGAUCCGUUGGUUCGUUUUUGAACUUAUACGCAUCAUAAUUAUCCAUCUGGAAUAUACCACAGCGCCCAACGCCGGGCAGAGAAGUGAAGGAAGUCGUAUGAAAUACAAAGACCUAUUUUGUUGGCAGUGUGGAUGAGGAGGCGAUGGGCGGCAGCGGCUGACAUGAACAUCCCAAACAGGAACUGGAAAGGUUGGUUCCGCGACAUCGAUUGUUUAAUAUCAAGCUCAUUGCAGUUACCAACACCUGUCAUCAUCAUGAGCCACAUGAAUUAUAUUACAAGCCACUUACAUUUGGAACUUUGCUAGCCCUGGACCCUCUAAUACCUCCCUUCUGUUCCCCCUCUUGCUUACUUUCUUCAUGUUCCUCCUUUUCGUCUCCUUCUUCUUCCUCUUCCUGUUCGUCUCCUCCUCUGCCCUGCAUUUGCUCUCUUCCAGCUGCUUCAACCUUUCACCUCUGUUUGGCCCUUACAAUGGUUUCCAUAAAGCGCCACAAAUAGGAAAAGAAGACUUUGUAGGUGUCUUUGAGACCUUCGAGUGUGCCUGCAGCCUCUAUGUCUUCUCUAGUGAUUGAUUUCGACUUCAGGUGCAGUUUAGCCCUAUAAAGCUGACGGUCGAUCUGCUUGUUGGUAAUGUCGGCCGUGUGAUCGCAUAUGAUUUUAAAGAAGACUUC
rnacentral:sRNA from 1 species